UCGAAUGAAUAAUAAUAUACAUCACAAUUUAUAUCUGAUAAUUUUCCUGUAUUAUAUUUCAGAUUAUAGCUGAUUGCAAUGGUUGGAUUGAUUGUUAGCAUAAAGGCGGGAAAGAUUUCAAUAUGGACGCCAUUUUGCUUCUUCAUGUAUAAGUGGAAAUAUUUGUGAUCGCGUGCAAUGCGGUUGAUAGAGUCAGUGUUUGCUUCGUAAUAGUAUCUUUAUAUUUUUUAAAGUAGAAUAGUUAUGGAUAUAUUUUAUUAUAAUAAUUUUUCGCGAAAUUCGAGUCAGUGUUUAUUCGCCAAUUAUAAAUUAAAUGUAUACUUUAGUAGUUUUUUUUGUUUAUUUUUUUUUCUAAAUAUUCUUUUUCGGUACAAGAUAGAGUCAGUGCUCUCAAGGAAUAAAGCGGUCAUCCAUCACACGAAG